AGAUUGUCCAGAAGUUUACAUGAAUUUGUUUUGUUCUUUAUUUUUUCACAUUCAUAGUGCCUGGGGACUGUGACCCCCUGCAGAGAACACCUCUACCAGGCUCUGCAAGUGGAGGGAGCGCCCGUGGCUGCAGUCUCUAUAGAGCAGUGACAGAAAUAUCAUGGAAGCAUUCAGUUUCUUUUCCACACCGCCUGACCUGCAAUAUUCCACACUGCCCUUCUUUCAGGUCUACUGGGCUGGAAUAAUUCACUGGAGGACGGUAAGGAAGACAGGACCACCUUGAUCGGGAAGGACAUCUUCAACUGUAUCCUUGCUGUAAAAACACUGCAGUACAUUAGCAUAGGCAAAGACUUCUUGAAUGGCUUCUAUUGGGUAUGUUCAUCACCACCGAAUAGACAAGAUGCUAUCUCACUUGUCAUUUUCUUAGGAGCCACAACAAUACAGAACUCAACACGCAGGUCAGAAGAGACACACUAAGGAAAUCAAAGGAAAUGCCUGGAAUCUGGCUAGUGUGUCCAAAAUAAAGAGAGAAAGUCAAGGAGAAAAAGCAGCACUCAACCUGGCCACUCGCAUGGGUGGUCGCCCUCGUUCCUCUGAAACCCACAUGCUGGAAAGAAAAGGAGAGCAAGAAGGGACCAGGACAGAAGGACGAAGGAGUAAGGAGUGGUGGGAAAAUAAAACAAACAAACAAACAAAAGGCACAUUACCAGGGAGACAGAUUGGAAGUGGAGCAGCCAGUCCUCACUCCAAUAUGGGAUGCUAACAUCAUAAGCAACAGCUUAACUUGGUGCACCAUAAUGCCAACUCUCAUUUCCUGUUUUUGAAGAAACUAGGUGAAUAAGAAAAGAGAAUGUGCUUUCUCAACAAACAUGACUUCAGAAGAAAUAACCUGGUUCCUAUAAGUAGAACCCUUGACCGAUAGUGCUGGAAGACGCAUGAACCAAUAUUACUAGAAAUUUUGCCUAGAGGAGACAAGAUAUUUAAAACAUGAAACAGGUAGUGUUACAUCAUAUAAUCAUCAGGAGAAUUCAACCUUAUUUAUUUGCAUUUGGCCUGUGAGCAAGUAACCAAAAAGUACAAAUGAAAAAAAGAAGGAAGAACAAUA